rnacentral:rRNA from 1 species
AGAGUUUGAUUUUGGCUCAGGACGAACGCUGGCGGCGCGCUUAACACAUGCAAGUCGUACGGAUUCGGGGCUUCGGCCCCGGGUCAGUGGCGAACGGGUGCGUAACACGUGAGCAACCUGCCUGGUUGUGGGGGAUAACCAGUGGAAACGCUGGCUAAUACCGCAUGAGCUCACCGGCUCGAGUGUGCUGGUGAGGAAAGCUCCUGCAAGGGAGUGCGACCAGAGGGGCUCGCGGCGUAUCAGCUGGUUGGUGGGGUAACGGCCCACCAAGGCGACGACGCGUAGCCGAUCUGAGAGGAUGAUCGGCCACAUUGGGACUGAGAUACGGCCCAGACUCCUACGGGAGGCAGCAGUGGGGAAUCUUGCGCAAUGGGCGAAAGCCUGACGCAGCGACGCCGCGUGCGGGAAGAAGCUUUUCGGAGUGUAAACCGCUGUCAGGGGGGAAGAACGGCCGGGGGAGGAAAUGCCCUCGGAGUGACGGUACCCCCAGAGGAAGCACCGGCUAACUCUGUGCCAGCAGCCGCGGUAAUACAGAGGGUGCGAGCGUUGUUCGGAAUUACUGGGCGUAAAGCGCGCGUAGGUGGUGUGUUAAGUCUACCCGUGAAAUGCUGGGGCUCAACCCCAUGCGCUGCGGGGGAUACUGGCACGCUGGAGACACGUAGAGGCAAGCGGAAUUCCGGGUGUAGCGGUGGAAUGCGUAGAGAUCCGGAAGAACACCGGAGGCGAAGGCGGCUUGCUGGGCGUGAUCUGACGCUGAGGCGCGAAAGCGUGGGGAGCAAACAGGAUUAGAUACCCUGGUAGUCCACGCCGUAAACGAUGGGCACUAGACGCUGGGGGGAUCGACCCCUUCGGUGUCGAAGCUAACGCGAUAAGUGCCCCGCCUGGGGAGUACGGCCGCAAGGCUGAAACUCAAAUGAAUUGACGG